UACGUAGGGGGCAAGCGUUGUCCGGAUUUAUUGGGCGUAAAGAGCGUGUAGGCGGCCACACAGGUCAGCUGUGAAAACUCGAGGCUCAACCUCGAGACGUCGGUUGAAACCGUAUGGCUAGAGUCCGGAAGAGGAGAGUGGAAUUCCCGGUGUAGCGGUGAAAUGCGCAGAUAUCGGGAAGAACACCCGUGGCGAAGGCGGCUCUCUGGGACGGUACUGACGCUGAGGCGCGAAAGCGUGGGGAGCAAACAGG
rnacentral:rRNA from 1 species